GGUUAAGCGACUAAGCGUACACGGUGGAUGCCUAGGCAGUCAGAGGCGAUGAAGGGCGUGCUAAUCUGCGAAAAGCGUCGGUAAGGUGAUAUGAACCGUUAUAACCGACGAUACCCGAAUGGGGAAACCCAGUGCAAUUCGUUGCACUAUUGCAUGGUGAAUACAUAGCCAUGCAAGGCGAACCGGGGGAACUGAAACAUCUAAGUACCCCGAGGAAAAGAAAUCAACCGAGAUUCCCCCAGUAGCGGCGAGCGAACGGGGAGGAGCCCAGAACCUGAAUCAGCGUAUGUGUUAGUGGAAGCGUCUGGAAAGUCGCACGGUACAGGGUGAUAGUCCCGUACACAAAAAUGCAUAUGUUGUGAGUUCGAUGAGUAGGGCGGGACACGUGACAUCCUGUCUGAAUAUGGGGGGACCAUCCUCCAAGGCUAAAUACUCCUGACUGACCGAUAGUGAACCAGUACCGUGAGGGAAAGGCGAAAAGAACCCCGGCGAGGGGAGUGAAACAGAACCUGAAACCGUGUACGUACAAGCAGUGGGAGCACCUUCGUGGUGUGACUGCGUACCUUUUGUAUAAUGGGUCAGCGACUUAUAUUUUGUAGCAAGGUUAACCGAAUAGGGGAGCCGUAGGGAAACCGAGUCUUAACUGGGCGAAUAGUUGCAAGGUAUAGACCCGAAACCCGGUGAUCUAGCCAUGGGCAGGUUGAAGGUUGGGUAACACUAACUGGAGGACCGAACCGACUAAUGUUGAAAAAUUAGCGGAUGACUUGUGGCUGGGGGUGAAAGGCCAAUCAAACCGGGAGAUAGCUGGUUCUCCCCGAAAGCUAUUUAGGUAGCGCCUCGUGAACUCAUCUUCGGGGGUAGAGCACUGUUUCGGCUAGGGGGUCAUCCCGACUUACCAAACCGAUGCAAACUCCGAAUACCGAAGAAUGUUAUCACGGGAGACACACGGCGGGUGCUAACGUCCGUCGUGAAGAGGGAAACAACCCAGACCGCCAGCUAAGGUCCCAAAGUCAUGGUUAAGUGGGAAACGAUGUGGGAAGGCACAGACAGCCAGGAUGUUGGCUUAGAAGCAGCCAUCAUUUAAAGAAAGCGUAAUAGCUCACUGGUCGAGUCGGCCUGCGCGGAAGAUGUAACGGGGCUAAACCAUGCACCGAAGCUGCGGCAGCGAACGUAUCACUUAAAACGCUUAACGUGACGGCAAAGCCGGCAUGUUCAAGCCACACUAAACGUUGAGUUGGCCGAUGUGCUGACAAACGAACAGGCGUUUUAAGGAUACGUUCGUUGGGUAGGGGAGCGUUCUGUAAGCCGUUGAAGGUGGUCUGUGAGGGCUGCUGGAGGUAUCAGAAGUGCGAAUGCUGACAUAAGUAACGAUAAUGCGGGUGAAAAACCCGCACGCCGGAAGACCAAGGGUUCCUGUCCAACGUUAAUCGGGGCAGGGUGAGUCGACCCCUAAGGCGAGGCUGAAAAGCGUAGUCGAUGGGAAACAGGUUAAUAUUCCUGUACUUGGUGUUACUGCGAAGGGGGGACGGAGAAGGCUAGGCUAGCCGGGCGACGGUUGUCCCGGUUUAAGCAUGUAGGCGGAGUGACCAGGUAAAUCCGGUUGCUUAUCAACGCUGAGGUGUGAUGACGAUGCACUACGGUGCAGAAGUAGUUGAUGCCAUGCUUCCAGGAAAAGCCUCUAAGCAUCAGGUAACAUGAAAUCGUACCCCAAACCGACACAGGUGGUCAGGUAGAGAAUACUCAGGCGCUUGAGAGAACUCGGGUGAAGGAACUAGGCAAAAUGGUGCCGUAACUUCGGGAGAAGGCACGCUGGCAUUAGGUAAAGGGACUUGCUCCCGGCGCCGAAGCCAGUCGCAGAUACCAGCUGGCUGCAACUGUUUAAUAAAAACACAGCACUGUGCAAACACGAAAGUGGACGUAUACGGUGUGACGCCUGCCCGGUGCUGGAAGGUUAAUUGAUGGGGUCAGCCGCAAGGCGAAGCUCUUGAUCGAAGCCCCAGUAAACGGCGGCCGUAACUAUAACGGUCCUAAGGUAGCGAAAUUCCUUGUCGGGUAAGUUCCGACCUGCACGAAUGGCGUAAUGAUGGCCAGGCUGUCUCCACCCGAGACUCAGUGAAAUUGAACUCGCUGUGAAGAUGCAGUGUACCCGCGGCAAGACGGAAAGACCCCGUGAACCUUUACUAUAGCUUGACACUGAACAUUGAGCCUUGAUGUGUAGGAUAGGUGGGAGGCAUAGAAGUGUGGACGCCAGUCUGCAUGGAGCCAACCUUGAAAUACCACCCUUUAAUGUUUGAUGUUCUAACUCGGCCCCGUAAUCCGGGGUGAGGACAGUGUCUGGUGGGUAGUUUGACUGGGGCGGUCUCCUCCCAAAGAGUAACGGAGGAGCACGAAGGUUAGCUAAUCACGGUCGGACAUCGUGAGGUUAGUGCAAAGGCAUAAGCUAGCUUGACUGCGAGAGUGACGGCUCGAGCAGGUACGAAAGUAGGUCUUAGUGAUCCGGUGGUUCUGAAUGGAAGGGCCAUCGCUCAACGGAUAAAAGGUACUCCGGGGAUAACAGGCUGAUACCGCCCAAGAGUUCAUAUCGACGGCGGUGUUUGGCACCUCGAUGUCGGCUCAUCACAUCCUGGGGCUGAAGUAGGUCCCAAGGGUAUGGCUGUUCGCCAUUUAAAGUGGUACGCGAGCUGGGUUUAGAACGUCGUGAGACAGUUCGGUCCCUAUCUGCCGUGGGCGUUGGAAGAUUGAGAGGGGCUGCUCCUAGUACGAGAGGACCGGAGUGGACGAAUCACUGGUGUUCGGGUUGUCAUGCCAAUGGCAUUGCCCGGUAGCUAAAUUCGGAAGAGAUAACCGCUGAAAGCAUCUAAGCGGGAAACUUGCCUCGAGAUGAGUCUUCCCUGGGGCUUUAAGCCCCUGAAGGAACGUUAAAGACGAUGACGUUGAUAGGCUGGGUGUGUAAGUGCAGCGAUGCAUUGAGCUAACCAGUACUAAUGAACCGUGAGGCUUAACCUU
rnacentral:rRNA from 1 species